rnacentral:rRNA from 1 species
AAAGCUCUGUUGUAAGAGAAGAACGUGUGUGAGAGUGGAAAGUUCACACAGUGACGGUAACUUACCAGAAAGGGACGGCUAACUACGUGCCAGCAGCCGCGGUAAUACGUAGGUCCCGAGCGUUGUCCGGAUUUAUUGGGCGUAAAGCGAGCGCAGGCGGUUUAAUAAGUCUGAAGUUAAAGGCAGUGGCUUAACCAUUGUUCGCUUUGGAAACUGUUAAACUUGAGUGCAGAAGGGGAGAGUGGAAUUCCAUGUGUAGCGGUGAAAUGCGUAGAUAUAUGGAAGAACACCAGUGGCGAAGGCGGCUCUCUGGUCUGCAACUGACGCUGAGGCUCGAAAGCAUGGGUAGCGAACAGGAUUAGAUACCCUGGUAGUCCAUGCCGUAAACGAUGAGUGCUAAGUGUU